rnacentral:ncRNA from 2 species
GAAUUACUUAAGCAUACGCGUUGUUACAUCAUCAGCUUUUUCCUUACAACCUUUAUUUUUGGAUGAGGAUACUUAAACGCCAAGGCAAGCCCUUUCGUUUGGUAGUCUGAACUUUAAGUGAUUCACCCACCUCGAAAUUUCGAGGAAAAUCUGCGUAGCGAUUAACGGUGCUAUAUAAGUUUUCCC